AUGGAGCCGACCUUGAAAUACCACCCUUUAAUGUUUGAUGUUCUAACGUUGACCCGUAAUCCGGGUUGCGGACAGUGUCUGGUGGGUAGUUUGACUGGGGCGGUCUCCUCCUAAAGAGUAACGGAGGAGCACGAAGGUUGGCUAAUCCUGGUCGGACAUCAGGAGGUUAGUGCAAUGGCAUAAGCCAGCUUGACUGCGAGCGUGACGGCGCGAGCAGGUGCGAAAGCAGGUCAUAGUGAUCCGGUGGUUCUGAAUGGAAGGGCCAUCGCUCAACGGAUAAAAGGUACUCCGGGGAUAACAGGCUGAUACCGCCCAAGAGUUCAUAUCGACGGCGGUGUUUGGCACCUCGAUGUCGGCUCAUCACAUCCUGGGGCUGAAGUAGGUCCCAAGGGUAUGGCUGUUCGCCAUUUAAAGUGGUACGCGAGCUGGGUUUAGAACGUCGUGAGACAGUUCGGUCCCUAUCUGCCGUGGGCGCUGGAGAACUGAGGGGGGCUGCUCCUAGUACGAGAGGACCGGAGUGGACGCAUCACUGGUGUUCGGGUUGUCAUGCCAAUGGCACUGCCCGGUAGCUAAAUGCGGAAGAGAUAAGUGCUGAAAGCAUCUAAGCACGAAACUUGCCCCGAGAUGAGUUCUCCCUGACCCUUUAA
rnacentral:rRNA from 1 species